rnacentral:misc_RNA from 1 species
GAUGAAGAACGUAGCGAAAUGCGAUAAGUAAUGUGAAUUGCAGAGUUCAGUGAAUCAUCGAAUCUUUGAACGCACAUUGCGCCCGCCAGUAUUCUGGCGGGCAUGCCUGUUCGAGCGUCAUUACAACCCUCAGGCCCCCGGGCCUGGCGUUGGGGAUCGGCGGAAGCCCCCUGUGGGCACACGCCGUCCCUCAAAUACAGUGGCGGUCCCGCCGCAGCUUCCAUUGCGUAGUAGCUAACACCUCGCAACUGGAGAGCGGCGCGGCCAUGCCGUAAAACACCCAACUUCUGAAUGUUGACCUCGAAUCAGGUAGGAAUACCCGCUGAACUUAAGCAUAUCAAUAAGCGGAGGA